AAUCUCGAUUCUCACAUAAUGGCCAAAAGAAAACAAGGGAGAUAACGGUUUCACUAACCAUAUAUGAACAUUAAUAACUGGUACUCCAACUAAUUUAUCCAAUUUCUUGAAGUACGGUAUUUCUUUCCAGGGAUCUGGUAAAAGGAGCUUCAGGAUAUCGACUACAAGAAAAACAUAAACAACAUAUUAAUAAGCAGGAUACC
rnacentral:sRNA from 1 species